GGAUCCAUAGCUCAGCUGGUAGAGCGCUUCGUUUACAUCGAAGAUGUCAGAGGUUCGAGUCCUCUUGGGUCCA
rnacentral:tRNA from 1 species